rnacentral:rRNA from 1 species
AAUAUCUUCCCGAAAUAGUGACAAAAAAUACUAAUGUAUUAAACUUUGUUUAGUACAAUUGGAAUGGAAACAAUCCAAAACCCUUAUUGAGUAAAAUCUUCAAAGUAAGUUAUGUGGGUCAAGGUAUAGUGAUCAAUUGGAGUUCUAGUUCAUUUACUUUGAGAAAAUUAGAGUGUUUAAAGCAGCCUCUUGGGGCACUGAAUACAUUAGCAUGGGAUAAUAAAAUAGGAUCUUCACAAUAUAUUUUAUUGGUUUAAAUUGGAUAUGAAGAUAAUGAUUAAUAGGGACAGUUGGGGGUAUUCAUAUUGGGUGGUUAGCGGUGAAAUGCUCGGAUCCAUUCAAGAUGAACUAAAGCGAAAGCAUUUACCAAGGAUGUUUUCAUUAAUCAAGAACGAAAGUUAAGGGAUCGAAGACGAUUAGAUACCGUCGUAGUCUUAACUAUAAACUAUGCCGACCA